GCGCCUGUAACUCAGCUGGAUAGAGUACCAUCCUCCUAAGAUGGGAGUCAGACGUUCAAAUCGUCUCAGGCGCGCCA
rnacentral:tRNA from 1 species